rnacentral:rRNA from 1 species
AACGAACGCUGGCGGCAUGCCUAACACAUGCAAGUCGAACGAGACCUUCGGGUCUAGUGGCGCACGGGUGCGUAACGCGUGGGAACCUGCCCUUAGGUUCGGAAUAACUCCCCGAAAGGGGUGCUAAUACCGGAUAAUGUCUUCGGACCAAAGAUUUAUCGCCUUUGGAUGGGCCCGCGUUGGAUUAGCUAGUUGGUAGGGUAAAAGCCUACCAAGGCCACGAUCCAUAGCUGGUCUGAGAGGAUGAUAAGCCACGCUGGGACUGAGACACGGCCCAGACUCCUACGGAAGGCAGCAGUGGGGAAUAUUGGACAAGGGGCGAAAGCCUGAUCCAGCAAUGCCGCGUGAGUGAUGAAGGCCGUAGGGUUGUAAAGCUCUUUUACCCGGGAUGAUAAUGACAGUACCGGGAGAAUAAGCACCGGCUAACUCCGUG